AAUAGCAAUGUAUCUGGUCACUUUGUAUGGACAAUUCCAUUUUCGGGCCAUUUUUGUUGCUCUUGAUACAUUAAGCCUAGGAAGUUUUAAUUAUUCCAUAUAUUUUUGUAUAAUUUUGUAAAUAAAGGUGUGAUAAAUAAUUAUUUUGAAUAUGACAAUAUUAUUUAUAAAUACAUACGUUAAUAAAUUAAAUGGCUAAAGUAGAGAUUACAAUUACUUUGCAUUUAAUAGUGGAGGGUUUAUAAAUAUAUAGGUGUUCUUUUUAAAUUCGUUGUUUUAAGUUUAUUUUUAAAAUACUCAUUAGAAUGGUGCUAAAAUGUUAAGUAGCCUAAUUUUAAUUGCAUUAAGACUUAGAGCAUUUAACCAACUGGAGACGCCUUGUCUGUGAUUUUCUAUACAAAACAUAUUUCUGUUCUGCGGGGUUGGGGCACGUCAAGUUGUAGGUAUGGCUAUUUGUACGUAAGGUACAAAUAGUAGGUUGAUCAGGUCUUUAAAUGAUUGAUUGCAUUAGAGAACACUCUAGAUUUAAAAAAAAAUUAAAUUGAUUUUAAGGGUUGCUACCAAGGUUUGAGAAUUUAUGCAAUCAAAGAAAGGCAAUAUGUGGCAUUAUCUAAGAAAAGGGACCUUAUUGUCGAUGGCGCUUACGCCGCACUGCGUGGCGCAGCGUUGUAUUUGUAUCGGAGCAUCCUUUAUUAUGGCGGAAGCGCCAUCGACAAUAAGGUCCCUUUUCAUAGAUAACGUCACAUAUUUUUCUAUAGUUUGGAAAACCAUUUCCCGUCAGUAGAAAAAGGCGGCAAAAAAAAACAGAUUUUCACGCAUAUAAAAUGGGAAUUUCGCGCCUUUUUCUAUUGACAAGGGGUUUUGCCAGUGUAUAUUAUGGUAUUAUUUUGCCAAGACAAUACAUCAAAUGUGAACAUGAUCAUUAUUUGAAGUUAAGUAUAUUUAAAUACACAUACCUCGGCCAAAUAUCGCUUAAAGCGAUUAUCGAUAAAAACGCUAAGGUCAAUGCAGAUGGCGCUGCGAUCAAAAAAUAUUUCAAUAAAACGUCAUUAUUGCAAUUUGAGUUAAAAACAUAUACUUAGGUAUUUAAGAAUUAUAGCUUGCUACAGAUUUAAUAAACAAAAAAUUAAAAUAAUACGCAAUACAAGCUGUUUAAAAAUGUGUUUUCGCUUACAGUAUCAAUCAAUGUCAUCAUAUAUUAUGUUUAAUAAUAUAUCACUCUAAAUAAAUAAGACAUUUGAAAUUCUAGUUCUGAGAGAUUAUCAUUUUGAAAAUUUUAUCAAUUUAAUAAAAAUGAUGUUCGGUAAA